rnacentral:lncRNA from 1 species
GGUAAUAAAGAUUAGAUCUUUUCUUUUUUCAUUCAAUUGGAUCUUCUUAUGAUGUGUAGGGAUACCAUUGUGACUAUAUCCCAUAAAGAUGAAUGCAAAAAAAAAUUUUAUUUUUCUCAAAAUCCUAAGUUUGUGUAUAUGAUAUAUUGUAUGAAAAGUAGUUACAUCAAAUCUUUGUAAAUAAAAUCUAGAAUCAUGAAUAUAUUUAGAAUAGUUC